AUUGAACGCUGGCGGCAUGCCUUACACAUGCAAGUCGAACGGCAGCACGGGUGCUUGCACCUGGUGGCGAGUGGCGAACGGGUGAGUAAUACAUCGGAACGUACCUUAUCGUGGGGGAUAACGCAGCGAAAGCUGUGCUAAUACCGCAUACGCCCUGAGGGGGAAAGCGGGGGAUCGCAAGACCUCGCGCGAUUAGAGCGGCCGAUGCCUGAUUAGCUUGUUGGUGGGGUAAAAGCCCACCAAGGCCACAAUCAGUAGCUGGUCUGAGAGGACGAUCAGCCACACUGGGACGGAGACACGGCCCAGACUCCUACGGGGGGCAGCAGUGGGGAAUUUUGGACAAUGGGGGCAACCCUGAUCCAGCAAUGCCGCGUGAGUGAAGAAGGCCUUCGGGUUGUAAAGCUCUUUUGUCAGGGAAGAAACACCGGCUCUAACACAGUCCGGGAAUGACGGUACCUGAAGAAUAAGCACCGGCUAACUACGUGCCAGCCGCCGCCGUAA
rnacentral:rRNA from 1 species